UACGUAGGGUGCGAGCGUUAAUCGGAAUUACUGGGCGUAAAGCGUGCGCAGGCGGUUUUGUAAGUCUGUCGUGAAAUCCCCGGGCUCAACCUGGGAAUGGCGAUGGAGACUGCAAGGCUGGAAUCUGGCAGAGGGGGGUAGAAUUCCACGUGUAGCAGUGAAAUGCGUAGAGAUGUGGAGGAACACCGAUGGCGAAGGCAGCCCCCUGGGUCAAGAUUGACGCUCAUGCACGAAAGCGUGGGGAGCAAACAGG
rnacentral:rRNA from 1 species